rnacentral:rRNA from 2 species
AUUGAACGCUGGCGGCAGGCUUAACACAUGCAAGUCGAGCGGGGGAAGGUAGCUUGCUACCGGACCUAGCGGCGGACGGGUGAGUAAUGCUUAGGAAUCUGCCUAUUAGUGGGGGACAACAUCUCGAAAGGGAUGCUAAUACCGCAUACGUCCUACGGGAGAAAGCAGGGGAUCUUCGGACCUUGCGCUAAUAGAUGAGCCUAAGUCGGAUUAGCUAGUUGGUGGGGUAAAGGCCUACCAAGGCGACGAUCUGUAGCGGGUCUGAGAGGAUGAUCCGCCACACUGGGACUGAGACACGGCCCAGACUCCUACGGGAGGCAGCAGUGGGGAAUAUUGGACAAUGGGGGGAACCCUGAUCCAGCCAUGCCGCGUGUGUGAAGAAGGCCUUAUGGUUGUAAAGCACUUUAAGCGAGGAGGAGGCUACUUUAGUUAAUACCUAGAGAUAGUGGACGUUACUCGCAGAAUAAGCACCGGCUAACUCUGUGCCAGCAGCCGCGGUAAUACAGAGGGUGCGAGCGUUAAUCGGAUUUACUGGGCGUAAAGCGUGCGUAGGCGGCUUAUUAAGUCGGAUGUGAAAUCCCCGAGCUUAACUUGGGAAUUGCAUUCGAUACUGGUGAGCUAGAGUAUGGGA